rnacentral:tRNA from 1 species
GGAGUUAAAUAAAAGUAGCUUCUAACUACUUUAAAGCAAUUUAAUUUGUUAAACCCCCCC